UUAUUUUUGUAAUAUAUGAGUUUGAUGUGUUUUUAACAUCAACAAUAUAUAUGUAUAAAUUAAAAAUGUAAAAACCCAUAAAAUAUAAUAAAAAAUUAUCUAAAGAUUUAUUAUGGGCAAUUAUCUCAAAUAGCAUUUUUAAAAGUUUUUGUCACAAAAAUAGCCUUCAAAAAGAAAAUGACCAAAAUAACCGUUUUUUAUUUUGAAAUUUUUAAUUUUUGUUUUUUUAUUUUUUAAAAUUUGAAACCUUAUCCCCAAAACUCCACCCCUU
rnacentral:lncRNA from 1 species